CCUACGGGCGGCAGCAGUAGGGAAUCUUUCACAAUGGGCGAAAGCCUGAUGGAGCAACGCCGCGUGCAGGAUGAAGGCCUUCGGGUUGUAAACUGCUUUUAUAAGCGAGAAAUAUGAUGGUAACUUAUGAAUAAGGAUCGGCUAACUACGUGCCAGCAGCCGCGGUCAUACGUAGGAUCCGAGCAUUAUCCGGAGUGACUGGGUGUAAAGAGUUGCGUAGGUGGGAUAAUAAGUAGCUAGGGAAAUCUGGUGGCUCAACCAUUCAGACUAUUAGCUAAACUGUUAAGCUCGAGACCGUUAGGGGUAACUGGAAUUUCUAGUGUAGGAGUGAAAUCCGUAGAUAUUAGAAGGAACACCAAUAGCGUAGGCAGGUUGCUGGGACGGUUCUGACACUAAGGCACGAAAGCGUAGGGAGCAAACGGGAUUAGAUACCCGAGUAGUC
rnacentral:rRNA from 1 species